AGGAGCCCAGCUGGCUUCACCCAGUGGAUCCCCCACAGGGCUGCAGGUGGAGCUGCCUGCCAGUUCCCGGCCGUGUGCCCGCACUCCUCAGCGCUUGGGUGUCGAUGGGACUGGGCCCAUGGAGUAGGGGGCGGCGCUCGUCUGGGAGGCUCGGGCCACACAGGAGCCCACGGAGGUUGGGGGAGGCUCAGGCAUGGCGGGCUGCAGGUCCCGAGCCCUGCCGUGCAGGAAGGCAGUUAAGGCCCCGCGAGAAAUUGAGCACAGCAGCUGCUGGCUGAGGUGCUAAGCCCCUCACUGCCUGAGGCCAGUGGGGCCGGCCAGCUGCUCCGAGUGCGGGGUCCGCCGAGCCCACGCCCAUCCGGAACUCGCGCUGGCCUGCAAGCACCGCGCGCAGCCCUGGUUCCCGCCCGCGCCUCUCCCUCCACACCUCCCUGUAAGCUGAAGGAGCCCGCUCCGGCCUUGGCCAGCACAGAAAGGGGCUCCCACAGUGCAGCCUCGAGCUGAAGGGCUCAUCAAGUGCCGCCAAAGUGGGAGCCCAGGCAGGGGAGGCGCCGAGAGCCAGUGAGGACUGCCAGCACCGCUGUCACCUCUCAGAAAUGCUGGGAAGAAUAUGAGAGAUCCGGAAGGGAACAGAAGACAAGGAAUGUGGGCACCCUCUAGAAGUUGCAGAAGCCAGAGAAACAGACUCUCCCCUGGAAUGUUCAGAAAGUGUACAAUCCUGCCAAGACCUCGGUCAUAGCUCAGUGAAACCCAUUUUGAAAUUCGGACCACCAGAACUGAGAGAUGUCAAGAAGUGGAAAAGCUGCCUCA
rnacentral:lncRNA from 1 species